rnacentral:rRNA from 1 species
UUGACCUCGAAUCAGGUAGGAAUACCCGCUGAACUUAAGCAUAUCAAUAAGCGGAGGAAAAGAAACCAACAGGGAUUGCCCUAGUAACGGCGAGUGAAGCGGCAACAGCUCAAAUUUGAAAUCUGGCUCUCGGGCCCGAGUUGUAAUUUGUAGAGGAUGCUUUUGGUGCGGUGCCUUCCGAGUUCCCUGGAACGGGACGCCAUAGAGGGUGAGAGCCCCGUCUGGUUGGAUGCCAAUCCUCUGUAAAGCUCCUUCGACGAGUCGAGUAGUUUGGGAAUGCUGCUCUAAAUGGGAGGUAUAUGUCUUCUAAAGCUAAAUACCGGCCAGAGACCGAUAGCGCACAAGUAGAGUGAUCGAAAGAUGAAAAGAACUUUGAAAAGAGAGUUAAAAAGUACGUGAAAUUGUUGAAAGGGAAGCGCUUGUGACCAGACUUGGGCUUGGUUGAUCAUCCAGGGUUCUCCCUGGUGCACUCUUCCGGCUCAGGCCAGCAUCAGUUUGCCUCGGGGGAUAAAGGCUUCGGGAAUGUGGCUCUCUCCGGGGAGUGUUAUAGCCCGCUGCGUAAUACCCUGUGGCGGACUGAGGUUCGCGCAUUCGCAAGGAUGCUGGCGUAAUGGUCAUCAGUGACCCGUCUUGAAACACGGACCAAGGAGUCGUCUUCGUAUGCGAGUGUUCGGGUGUCAAACCCCUACGCGAAAUGAAAGUGAACGCAGGUGAGAGCUUCGGCGCAUCAUCGACCGAUCCUGAUGUUCUCGGAUGGAUUUGAGUAAGAGCAUACGGAGCCGGACCCGAAAGAAGGUGAACUAUGCCUGUGUAGGGUGAAGCCAGAGGAAACUCUGGUGGAGGCUCGCAGCGGUUCUGACGUGCAAAUCGAUCGUCAAACAUGGGCAUGGGGGCGAAAGACUAAUCGAACCUUCUAGUAGCUGGUUUCCGCCGAAGUUUCCCUCAGGAUAGCAGUGUUGAACUCAGUUUUAUGAGGUAAAGCGAAUGAUUAGGGACUCGGGGGCGCUAUUUAGCCUUCAUCCAUUCUCAAACUUUAAAUAUGUAAGAAGCCCUUGUUGCUUAAUUGAACGUGGGCAUUCGAAUGAAUCAACACUAGUGGGCCAU